GACUUCUGGUUUAAUGCACACCUGGCCCGCGGCCCACAAGGCCUGUGAGUGCCGGCGCGCGUUUACCAUCCUUCCAGCUUAACUGGGCGGCUGGAACUGGAUCUUUUACUUUGAAAAAAUUAGAGUGUUUAAAGCAGGCGUUUGCUCUGAAUACAUAGCAUGGAAUAAUAAUCUAGGACUUCGGUAACUGAAGUCCUGAUUGAUAGGGAUAGUUGGGGGUGCAGUAUUGGCCGGUCAGAGGUGAAAUUCUUGGAGAUU
rnacentral:rRNA from 1 species